AUACGUAGGUGGCAAGCGUUGUCCGGAUUUAUUGGGCGUAAAGCGAGUGCAGGCGGUCUUUUAAGUCUGAUGUGAAAGCCUUCGGCUUAACCGAAGAAGGGCAUCGGAAACUGGGAGACUUGAGUGCAGAAGAGGAGAGUGGAACUCCAUGUGUAGCGGUGAAAUGCGUAGAUAGGGUAUGGAAGAACACCAGUGGCGAAGGCGGCUCUCUGGUCUGUAACUGACGCUGAGGCUCGAAAGCGUGGGUAGC
rnacentral:rRNA from 1 species